rnacentral:rRNA from 1 species
GCGCACCAGUCGAGAAAACUUCACACUGUGCGAAAGCACGAUGAGGGGAUCCCAAGUGCUUGCACGUAAGUGUAAGCUGUUUCUCUGUCUAAAACGCAGAGAGAGUAAGGGCUGGGUAAGACGGGUGCCAGCCGCCGCGGUAAUACCUGCAGCUCAAGUGGUGACCGUUAUUAUUGGGCCUAAAACGUCCGUAGCCGGUUUAAUAAAUGCCUGGGUAAAUUGUGUAGCUUAACUAUACGAAUUCCGGGUAGACUGUUAAACUUGAGACCGGGAGAAGUUAGAGGUACUCCUGGGGUAGAGGUGAAAUUCUGUAAUCCUAGGGGGACCACCAGUGGCGAAGGCGUCUAACUAGAACGGGUCUGACGGUGAGGGACGAAGCCCUGGGGCGCAAACGGGGAUUAGAUACCCCGGUAGU